GAAGCGCUUGAGCUGCUUCUGCAGGUACUUGCGAUGGUCCACGGAGCGGCGGCAGGGCGCCGACUUGUCCAGGGCUGCCUUGAUGUCGCUGGACGCCAGGUUAACGAAGUUCAGCAGCAUCUUCACAUCACUGUCGGAUGCCAUCACCAGGGGGCCACUGCACGAGGCUUUCCAUGAAGAGGGUGGGCUCUGCUGGUGGCCGGCAGCUCCAAGGAAGGGCACCAAGCUGACCUGGGGGACAAAACAGGCCAUUGGAGUCUCUCCGAGCAGCCACACCCAACCCUGCCAAAAGACCACAGCACCUGUCUGCAAACGGUGUCCCCACCCCAGCACCCCUCAGCCUUAAACAGAGUCCUGGGUAGAGGGAUGUGGGUGCAAGUGGCUGAGCACUUCCUGCACACCUGGGAUGCAGCAGGCGCCAGCAGAGCCUCACCCAGCCUGCUUGGGUCUGGUGCCCUCUUCUUGCAGCCAAGGCUCAGAAAGGUCAAGCAACUCGCCCAAGGUGACCCAGCUACAGGUGGCAUUGCUGGGGCUGGCACACACUCCCAGCCUGCCCCGUCUCCCACACACCACGCUGCCAACUUGCCAGUGAGGUGUUUAUUCUCUGAGCUGAGGCAACUGCUCCACUUAAAAGCAAGGCCAAGCCCCCUUCCUCCCUGGUGGUAGCCUCCCCCUCCCACCACUCCCGCCCCCGGCAUGAGGAGCGCCAGCCCCCCUCCUCAGUCCCCACGCUCCACCCCCAGCUCUCACGCAGGACCAGGCAGGACCCCUGUCUGGCACUUAAUCGAGACCUGCCUUGCAGGCUGAUCUCAGGCUGCGGGCAGCAGGGACUCCCCCGAAGAAGCAUCUGCAGCAAUUUCAUGCCUCCUCGGCCGCCACCCACGGCACCUCGCCCCUCCUCCAGGCCCCAGCCUGCUCCACACCCACCACCCAGUCGGGCCAGAGCCACCGGGCCUCCACACUGACCGAAGGUGCGGCCAGGGCCCAGCCAACGCGGCCCGGCAGUUUCCCCACUGCAGACCUGGGACAGGCCCCGGCGCAGCCGGCUGAGCUCCGUCCGGCUGGAAGCAGUUGUGCAACCCUCGAGUGGGCUGAAUGGAGGACAACUCCCCGGAGCUGGGGGGCCCCUCAGGCCAAUCAGGAGCGCCUCUCCAGAUACAAAGCAUCCCAAUCAGGCGGCGGCGCCCCGUUCCCACAUUCUUUGCCGUCACAAAUUGUCACCAUGGGGACCAUCACAAAAAAGACAGCUCCCAAAUGCAAUCAUUUCCCGGUAAAUUUCUACCCUUCAGCCCCACUCUCCUGGGCCUCCACGCUCCUCCUCCCCUUGACCUCGGUUCCCUGGUUUCUCAAGGGGGUGGUGUGUGUGUGUGUGUGUGUGUGUGUGUGUGUGUGUGUGUGUGUGUUUAAAAUGUCCAGGAUCGAGAAGGGGCUGGGCCUAGUAGAGACAGGCUUGCAAACCUCCCCCAAAGACUGCAGGCCUACAGCUGCCAUGCUCCAGUGCGGACAGACAAUCGGACGGGGGCGUCAAGACAUUUUAAAGCCACUCAGCUCAGCUCCCAGCGUCCUCCAGAUCCCACGGCACCUGCAGCCCUGCCGGCCCAUUCCGCACUGCCAGAUCAUGAAGAUGACUCUCAUUUCUUAGCUAGUAGUGAGUCCCCACCAGGCCCGUGGACUCCAUGGGAGGUGAGCUGAGCCCACCCAGGUGAGCUUCAGGAGGGAAGGUAGGUCACCCACAGGUUUCUCUCUGUACCUCCUGUGACUCGAAUGGACUCAGCACACAGCAGGCCUGAGUGAAGGAUGCUUGUGGUUGCUAUAGCUUACGUGACAACGAAUUGUCUGUGAUCCUACAGGACUGUGGUGCAUGAAGCUGGAAGUGCUUCUUCCCGACUGCAUCGCCCAGCACCAGAGCCUGGGUUCUGUAAAGCUCUGUUAAAGGCACAUGAGCUGUGCUGGCUUCAACUGCCGUGAACUCGGAUAAGCUGGGCCACUGACGGCCCCUUUUCAACCAGUCGUUGCUGCCUUGGUUUUCCGACAAUGCACUGUGCUGACCCUGCUGCAGGGACUCCCAGGUUUGCAUCAACUCCAUUCAACACCUACUGUGUGCGGGGAACAGAGGGUGUGGAGGUGGCAUUCCCUGCUUUAUCUUCAUAAGUAAACAGCUGUCUCCCGCCCACUCAUCAGUGAAGCAGAACAACUCCCCAGCAGUAUCCUGGGAGCCACUCCUCCCUCUGUUGUCAACAGACAUCAUCUACUUCUAGGAUUCAGUCAGCACAUGUGUAGACUGGAGCUGCAAGUGAGAAGAGGCACCUGGCAGGGCAUGCACAGACCAAGCCCGAGGGAGCCAAGGAACUCAUCUGGGGCAGUGGGUUUUCAAAUUGCUUUGAAGCAGAGAUGCCCACUUAAAAAUAUGUGGUGAUUCAGCCAGGCACAGUGGCUCAGGCCUGUAAUCCCAGCACUUUGAGAGGCCAAGGUGGGCUGAUCACCUGAGGUCAGGAGGUCGAGACCAGCC